CACGUAGGGGGCGAGCGUUGUCCGGAUUUAUUGGGCGUAAAGAGCUCGUAGGCGGUUUCGUAAGUCGGAUGUGAAAACUCCAGGCUCAACUUGGAGACGCCAUUCGAUACUGCGAUGACUUGAGUCCGGUAGGGGAGUGUGGAAUUCCUGGUGUAGCGGUGAAAUGCGCAGAUAUCAGGAAGAACACCUAUGGCGAAGGCAGCUCUCUGGGACGGUACUGACGCUGAGACGCGAAAGCGUGGGGAGCGAACAGG
rnacentral:rRNA from 1 species